UACGGAGGGUGCAAGCGUUAUCCGGAUUUACUGGGUUUAAAGGGUGUGUAGGCGGGCUUUUAAGUCAGUGGUGAAAUCUCUGGGCUCAACCUGGAAACUGCCAUUGAUACUAUUAGUCUUGAAUUCUGUUGAGGUAGGCGGAAUAAGUCAUGUAGCGGUGAAAUGCAUAGAUAUGACUUAGAACACCGAUUGCGAAGGCAGCUUACUAAACAGACAUUGACGCUGAGGCACGAAAGCGUGGGGAUCAAACAGG
rnacentral:rRNA from 1 species